rnacentral:lncRNA from 1 species
UCAUCAGCUUUCAAUUCUUGUAACCUCAGGAACUCCUCCAUGUCUUUCUUUAUCUUGCAGGCAUGUGGAGACACCUUGGCAGAGUGUGCACAGGUAAUGGGAUGGAACCAGCCCAGGAACUUGUUCAGACAAAUGACACUGAGUGACCAUCUUCAGGUCUUGCAAGAGAUGUGCAAAUUUCUGGUGAGGAAAUGCAGGAGAAUGGUGGGGGACUUCUUACUUAGGAGCAUAGCCUACCUAAAGAACCCUCAGCCCCUUUUACGAGAGGCAGCAGCCAGGUUUAUAGAGUUCACAGUCAAGAAUUUGAACUUAAUUCAAGUUGACAGAGAUGAUGUGAUGCUACUGCUCAAUGGUAAGGAAUUGCUUGUGAUCCAGGUUCUUUUGCAAUCUAUAAUGUGCCUUCAUUUAUGUUAUCAGAUGGCCUCUGCCUCCCCCCACCCACCUGUCCUCUGGGCAGUAAUUCAGGAGGAGUUUAUAGAAAUG